rnacentral:lncRNA from 1 species
AUAAGACAUAAGACAUAAGACAUAAAGCUUUAUUUAGAGUCGGUAUAAGCAAGCAAUUACAAACAUAAGCUCUGAAGAGCUUUUAAAACCGACAUAACAACAAGUAAAACAAAACAUACAUAUCGAGUCAUGCACACAACAUUAAACAUAUAAAGCAAGAGUUCAUAUCAGUAUAUAACCAUGCAGCACAAAAGUUCUUUAAGCAUCGUAUAUGUUAAACACAUACUGAUACAUGCAAUUAUGAGAUAAAAAACAAAAGCACAAAUAAAAUGGUUUGCACAUAGAAAGCACAUUAAAAGCACAUAAAGUUUCUAAAAUUAGCACAAAGCAGCAGAAGC